AAAAACUGUAAGCUUCCAUGUUCUGAUAAUUCCUUUCUUAAUGUUCUGUUUUCUAGGUAAGUACUCUGUAUUCUUCUUAAUUAAGCUGACAGAAAACCUAACAUUCGUCUCAGCCUUCUUGAAAUGCAAUAAAAGAGGUAGAAACCAAAGCAACAAAAAUGAAGGACCACUUGGCGUGAAGGCUUGUUCCAGAUACGUUCAAGCAAGACUCUGCCAACUUGGAGAUAAAGCGGUUCUCAAAACCUUCCAGCAAGCAACGUGGUGUCAGCUGUGUCAAAUAUACAAAGUUAAGAGGAUCACAUGACAAGUGUAAGAGUGCCAUUAGUCUUUUCUGACUGAUUAUGCUCGUGCUUCUCCUUUCCGCUAUCCAGAGGGGGUAAAAUCUUUCAGUUGUCCACAGUGAGAUCUGCACUGUCACUUGCAGAAAACAAAAGCAGUUGUGGCCGUUGCAAUUCACCCAAAUUCAGGUAGGAAAUAACCUACCUGCCUCUGCCUCAGGGCUUCCAGUGCAUUUUUCCUGAAACUUCCCUCUGUCUUUUUACUGUUUCAGUUAUACCUGAGAUGGCAUUCUAUGUCAUCUGAUAACUGUUCACAGUUUUAACUUCAAGCCACAGAGAACAUUCAAAUGUCAACAAGGGUCACUUCUAGUAUUUUAAGUACAGAAUUCUAAGAUUCAGAUUAGCAUCAAUGCUACAGAGCAGAAUUUAUUUUCUUCACUAGUUUAAGGCUCUGAUAACACAAGAGGAAGUAGUCUUUAUUGGUAGUUUUUAGCAAAGCCAUAUGUUUAACAGCUUUCAAUGGACUUUAAAAUUCAGGUGCUGAAGGGAAAACCAGCCUUUGCUACAAAGCGUCAAAAGUUUUGUGAUGAUGUUGACUUGCACAUUACUGUAGAUGAUUGUGUGUGGAUGACUCUUACGUUAAAAGGGGGAAAAUAAACCUCUUGUUUUGUUCUCCAAUAUGUAACUACCAGUCCGGCCGCAUUCUCUAUUUCGAGCCUUACUGAUCCGGAUUCACUGAUAGUGGUAAACAAACCCCUUGCUUUAUUAGAGGAAGGACAGGAAAUGGCUCCAAUAUGCAACUACCAGUCUGGCCGCGUUCGCUAUUUCGAGCCUUACUGAUCCGGAUUCACCGAUAGUGUACCACACUGUCCAGUCCAACCAGCUGCAACUGUCAGUCCGGCCGCGUUCGCUAUUUCGAACCUUACUGUUCCGGAUUCACCGAUAGUGCACCACAACGAGAAAUGGGGUUGUAUUCAGUGAGAAAAUUAGUUUAUUGACACAAUAGACACAGGUUCUUAUGGAUUGCCGGUGAUAGAGACUGUCUGCAAAAGCACGUGCGAAUAAUGAUUACAUGAAUACAAGCGCUUGAUAAAGUUAACACAGCAUAGCUAUAAAAUAUACAGAUGACAGUAAAAGUAACUCUAUAGAGAUUCUAAGUUUUCCCAGGGAAGCGCAGAAUACAGUGCAGGUCUUACCCACAGGUGUCCCUAUGGGGGGGGAAGAGAGGUCCAGCCCGUCGACCGGUCCCAGGAGUCGGUUGAUGUUAUUUUCCUUGACUCGUCCACGAUGGUAUCCUCCCCAAUAUCCCCCUCUUUCUUUAGUUUUUUAUAUUAUUUUUUAUCUUUAAGGUGGAGCUUGAGUGACUCUAGUCAUACGUACUAUUAUUAUUACUCAGAGAGGGGUGAUCUCAUUUUGGAGGGGGGGUCGCAUUGGAGAUGUGUGAGUAAUUGCUUUAUAAUGACGUUAUAAUGAAGCAAAGUCCACACUGAGGACAGCAUUCUGUCAAAAGAUGACAGGCUGCUGGCCCAGGGUAGGAAGUGUGCAGCUUAUCGGCUUUUGCAAGGUCUCCACCUCACUCUACCACGCAGCUUAUCAGCUUCUUGCACCAUCUUGUUCCCGUCUUUGUGCUGAAGUUAGGACAAAGCGUAGCUGCGAGAUUUCCACCUCGCCCUACCCUUCGUCUUCGUCUUCGUGUUGCCACUGGAACUGCGGUGGAGUGCACAUUACUGGCAUACCCGGUGCGGCUGCAUCUCGCCCUGAGAGGCCUUGAAAGUCCGUUUUUCCCUUAUGUGUGGACAAUGCUACAUUUCAAAUAUAAGUUUAAUUCCUAAUUAUCCCAUAUUUCCUAAUUAUUCCACAAUGACUAUUUACAAUAUAAAAUUGAGAUAAUGGCUUGAUUUUUAUUUUUCUACUCAUUUUUAUUGUUACCUUCAACACAUGCUCAUAAAAUUUGAGAGGGCUUUGAAGUAAUUUUUGCAAAUACUCAUUAUGGUUUUCCCUAACUCUUGCUCUGCAGCUCACCCUGCUGGAAAGAGGUGACUCAUUUCAUACAAUGAAGCCAUUUUGUAGAGAAUGAUUUCCUAUGAGAUGGUGGUGGGUUGUGUUUUAUCUUGAUAGAAAUCAGAACUUAUCCAUAGUAGGCAUAGAACAAAAACAGGUACAUCCAUUACACAGGAAGAGAGAACCACUAACUACUAAUUAUUUUCAGUGGUUUGAAAAGAGAAAGGAAAGCCUACCCAACACUUCCUGCAGGAGAAAUACACCCAUUUCAAAUAAAAUCAUAAUAGCAUACCUGUCACAGUGCCAUAUGAAGUAAUGCAGGAGUUGUGCCCCCGUGUGCGAAAGCAGAUUAUCACCAGGGGAGCAGGGAGUGAGAGAGCUGCUGUGUGGUGGUUAGUUG
rnacentral:lncRNA from 1 species